rnacentral:lncRNA from 1 species
CUUGCUUUUGUUCCCCCUUCAAAGACUCUGAAAAAAGUUACUAUUUCUAGCAAAAUGACAGCUGCCCUAGUUAACAAAGGAGUUGACAAAGGGUAAGAAUGUGAAUGCUGAUCCUGUUGUAUCAACGUAGAUGAGAUUGCUGUUUCCUUCAGAAAACAACUUUUCCUCCUAUGGUUCUGAUCCAGGAGAAGACAGCUGCCCUUAAUUAUCUCCCUGCUUCACUUUUUCUCUGAGAAAGGAUAGAAUUAAUGCUUGAAAGGCCAAAAUGUACCCCUGGAUAUUUCCUAUCCAUCCUUGUUGACUUCAAUAGGACAGAGGAAGAAACAGUUAUUCCCAUACCCUGUGUGGGUGCUGCCUAGAACACUGAUAACUAGUGCAAGUAUGUAAAUCUCAUAUGUUUCCAUUCAAUUCCAGUUUCAGAUGCUAUAUACCUAAAUGGAGUAAAGGAGUACUUUAAUAGAUAGGAAUAAUUUAUCUAUCUAUCUAUCUAUCUAUCUAUCUAUCUGUCUGUCUGUCUGUCUGUCUGUCUGUCUGUCUAUCUAUCU